GGCGGACCCUGUUUUGCCUGUCUCCCUCAUCAGGGCAGGUACAUUAGCUCCAGGACAGGUGACUUUCACUCGUGUCGGUGUGAAGAGACCACCAAACAGGCUUUGUGUGAGCAAAAAAGCUUUUAGUCACCUGGGUGCAGGCGGGCUGAGCCCGAAAAGAGAGUCAACAAAGGGAGAUAGGGGUGGGGCCGUUUCAUAAGAUUUGGGUAGGUAAAGGAAAAUUACAGUCAAAGGGGGGUUGUUCUCUGGCGGGCAGGGAUGGGGGGUCACAAGGUGCUCAGUGAGGAAGCUUUUUAGCCAGGAUGAGCCAGGAGAAGGAAUUUCACAAGAUAAUGUCAUCGGUUAAGGCAGCGACCGGCCAUUGUCACUUCUUUUGUGGUGCAAAGUCAUCAGUUAAGUCAGGGACUGGCCAUUUUCACUUGUUUUAUGGAGGAAUGUCAUCAGUUAAGGCAGGAACAGGUCAUUUAAAUUUCACUUCUUUUGUGAUUCUUCAGUUACUUCAGGCCAUCUGGAUGUAUACGUGUAGGUCACAGGGUAUAUGAUGGCUUAGCUUGGGCUCAGAGGCCUGACAUUCCUGUCUUCUUAUAUUAAUAAGAAAAAUAAAACAAAAUAGUGUUGAAGUGUUGGGGCGGUGAAAAUUUUGGGGGUGGUAUGGAGCGAUAAUGGGCGAUAUUUCUCAGGGCUGCUUCGAGUGGGAUUAGGGGCAGCGUCGGAACCUAGAGUGGGAGAGAUUAAGCUGAAGGAAGAUUUUGUGGUAAGGGGUGAUAUUGUGGAGUUGUUGGAAGAAACAUUUGUCAUUUAGAAUUAUUGGUGAUGGCCUGGACACGGUUUUGUAUGAAUAGAAAAAGUAAAUGGAGUAAGAGAAGGAGAACAGGUAUUAAAGGACUAAGAAUUGGGAGGACCUAGGACAUCUAAUUAGAGAGUGCCUUAGAAGGUUCAGCAUAGCCUUGGCCAGCAAAGAUUAUUUAUUUACUUUAAGAGUUAAGAGUGGCGGUUUGGGGAUAGCACCAGGAGAUAUCAGCUGUGAUGGCUUGGAGAAACAGUGUAAACUGGCAGUGUAAACAAGAGCAGGGAAUUUAUGAGUAGUUGAGAACGGUGAAUAGGAGUAUGACCAGACAGAAGAUAGUAGCGAUGACAAGUUUUUGGGGGCACAGUCCAAGUUGGUCUGGUGUCUGGAAUGAGACUGGGGCCUAAUAAAAAGGAGCGUCUAUACAGGAGCUCAAAUGGACUGUACCUUGUAGCAUUCUGAGGACAGGCCUGAAUUCUGAGAAGGGAAAGUGGUAAAAGUAUUGUCCAGUCCUUUUUAAGUUGGUGGCUGAGCUUGGUGAGGUGUCUUUUUAAAAGACCAUUAGUUCACUGAAUACUAAGAGCCUGAGAAACUGCUUGGGUGAUUUGACUAAUAAAGGCCGGUCCCUUAUAGGACUGUAUAGAGGUGGGAAGGCCAAACCGAGGAAUUAUGUCUGACAGAAGGGAAGAAAUGACAGUGGUGGCCUUCUUAGACCCUGUGGGAAAGGCCUUUACCUAUCCAGUGAAAGUGUCUACCUAGACCAAGAGGUAUUUUAGUUUCCUGACUCCGGGCAUGUUGAGUAAAGCCCAUUUGCUGGUCCUGGGUGGGGGCAAAUCCCUGAGCUUGAUGUGUAGGGAAGGGAGGGGGCCUGAAUAAUCCCUGAGGAGCAGUAGAAUAGCAGAUGGAACACUGAGAAGUUAUUUCCUUGAGGAUAGAUUUCCACGAUGGAAAGGAAAUGAGAGGUUCUAAGAGGCGGGCUAGUGGCUUGUCCUAUAGCACAGCCUGCCUUUGCUGAUGUGUGGCGAUUAGGCCUGGUGCAACUGCCAUCAAUAAACCAAGUGUGAUUAGGGUGAGGAACAGGAAAGAAGGAAAUAUGGGGAAAUGGAGUGAAUGUCAGGUGGAUCAGAGAGAUACAGUCACGGGGGUCAGGUGUGGUAUCAGGAAUAAUGUGGGAGGCCGGAUUGAAGUCCGGGCCAGGAACAAUGGUAAUUAUGGGAGACUUAACAAAGAGUGAGUACAGCUGAAGGAGCCGGGGAGCAGAAAGUAUAUGUGUCAGGUGUGAGGAAGAAAAUAGAUUUUGGAAGUUAUGAGAACUGUAGAGAGUGAGUUGAGCAUAGUUUGUGAUUUUAAGGGCUCUAAAAGUAUUAGGGCGGUGGCGGCCACUGCACGCAGAGUAGAGGGCUAGGCUAAAACAGUAAGGUCAAGUUGUUUGGAUAAAAAGGCUACAGGGCGCGGUCCCAGUUCUUGUGUAAGAAUUCCGACUGCACAGCCCUGCACUUCAGCUGUGUGUAAUGAAAAGGGGUGGGAUGAGUCAGGGAGAGCUAGGGUGGCGGCAGUCUCUAAAGCUGUCUUCAAGGAACGGAAAGAGGAGUGGGGACAGGAUUUAGGAUCUAUGGGGUCAGCUAGGUUUCCUUUUGUGAGUUUAUAUAAUAGUUUUGUUAGGAUGGCAAAACCAGGUAUCUAAAGUUGAAAGUAUCUAACCAUGCCUAGGAAGAAAGGAGUUGUUGUUUUGUAGAAGGUGCUGGGGUUUGAGAGAUCAGUGGACACCAUCGGCAGGGAGAGCACGUGUGUUUUUAUGAGAAUUAUGCCGAGAUAGGUAACAGAUGAGGAAGAAAUUUGGGCUUGACUGAAGUAAUGGGGGCUGUCUGUGAAGCCUUGCGGCAGUACGGCCCAGGUAAUUUGCUGAGCCUGAUGGGUGUCAGGGUCAGUCCAAGUGAAAAGCGAAGAGAGGCUGGGAUGAAGGGUGCAAAGGAAUAGUAAAGAAAGCAUGUUUGAGAUCCAGAACAGAAUAAUGGAUUGUGGAGGGAGGUAUUGAGGAUAGGAGAGUAUAUGGGUUUGGCACCAUGGGGUGGAUAGGCAAAACAAUCUGGUUGAUAAAGUGCAGAUCCUGAACUAACCUGUAAGCCUCGUCUGGUUUUAGGACAGGUAAAAUGGGGGAAUUGUAAGGGGAGGUUAUAGGCUUUAAAAGGCCAUGCUGUAGCAGGCGAGUGAUAACAGGCUUUAAUCCUUUCAAAGCAUGCUGUGGGAUGGGAUAUUGGCACUGAGCAGGGUAAAGGUGAUUACGUUUUAAUGGGAUGGUAAGGGGUGCAUGAUCGGUCGCUAAGGAGGGAGUAGAGGUGUCUUAUACUUGUGGGUUAAGGUGGGGAGAUACAAGGGGAGGAUGUGAAGGAGGCUUUGAACUGGGGGAAAAGGCGGCAGUGAGGUGUGGCUGUAGCCCAGGAAUAGUCAGGGAAGCAGAUAAUUUAGUUAAAGUGUGUCGGCCUAAUAAGGGAACUGGGCAGGUGGGGAUAACUAAAAAGGAGUGCUUAAAAGAUCAUUGUCUAAGCACCAGAGUUGGGGAGUUUUAAGAGGUUUAGAAGCCUGGCCGUCAAUACCCACAACAGUUACGGAGGCGAGGGAAACAGGCCCUUGAAAAGAAGGUAAUGUGGCGUGGGUAGCCUCCGCAUUGAUUAAGAAGGGGAUAGACUUACCUUCCACUGUGAGAGUUAGCCAAAGCUCGGCGUCCGUGAUGGUUUAGGGGGGCUUCCGAGGCCAUCAGGCAGUGUCAGUCUUCAGCCGCUAAGCCGAGAAGAUCUGAGAAGGAGUCAGAGAGCCUUGGGCUGGAGUUCCAGGGGCUCUGGGAGUGGCUGCCAGGGGUUACAUAAUUAGCAGAAGGGAGGAGCUUCAAAUCCUGGCACUCUAACACAGAGAUUGUUCACUUAAGACUACACAGUACUACUUAUGAAAAAAAACUGGCAGAAGGUAAGACAAAUGAUCAACUUCCUUUUGGUGCCCUCUCCAGGUUAGUGAACCAAAUAGGUUCUAGGUUAGAAUCAUCACCAUAAAAGUAGGGGCUAACAUCAGUGACGUCUAAAAUUUCUUUUGGAUCUAUUCUACAACACUACGGAUUUUUGGACAUGAUUUUUUUUUGCUACCUCUAAAGCAGUGAGACCCUCUGGAAUUUCUGUGUAAGAGAGUUUUAGAAGUGGCAACCUGUUUGUUAGAUAAAAUUAGGAAACUUGAAACUACAGUUACAUGGCCAGCAUGCUGUAUUUGGCUUAUAUGCUUAUUCAGAGCAGAUUUUAGAGGCUGGGGGUUAACAGAAAUUGCUAUAAUGCCUCUCCCAGAAGCUACCCCUUGGUGUCUCCAGAUAUGAGUCAUUGUUUCAGAGGUGUGGGAAAAGAAGAAACUCCUGCUUUCGGCAAACCUGUAUUGGGUUUGGUCUGAUAUUGAAGAAUUUUGCCCUUCCUAAAUUGUGGAGGUCAUCUCACCCUCCAGCUAAGCCAAGCAGAGGGUGACAAUGAAUCCAUACAUGACAAAGAAAGUACUCAUGCUUCAGGCCUCUAUCUAAGUCAUUUAGCUAAAUGCUUUUCCACUGGAAUAAGAUUUUGGACUUUAUUUUAAUCAGCAGGUUUUUCCUUUGAGAGGAGUUUCAAAUCUCCCUCUUAGGAAGGUCAUGCUUCCUUUGCCUUGCUAGGCCUCGGGAUAGAAAAUAGGAUUCUCUGGAAAAAGCUAUCACUUAGUAAAUAAUUGAUUGGCGAUUGCUUUGGAUUUGAUUCGCUAAGCUGAGAACCUUCGACACAAACUGUGGAGGGUUCAAGAAUGAAUGCAAAGUAUGUGUGGUUUUUACAAUUUGGUGGUCUAAGCAAGGUAGAGGAUGUCUAGCAGGGCAACAGUGUUCCUUAACCUUGUUUUCUUUGGUUUAAUGUUCACAAGUCAUAGAAUAUACAAAUAGAACAGUCACUAAAUGCUUUUUUCCUUUGAACAAAUAGUUUCAGUUCCUACAGAUACCACCAUUGUACUCCAGUGGCUUAAAAUAGCACUGUGGUCACAAUGUCAGUCCCUAGUAGACCUUCCAGUUUUUCUAGCUAGCAUUUCCCUAAUACCUGUGAUAAUGCGUCUCCCAUAAGCUAACAAAUUAGUUCAGGUGGAGGAAUGGGGCAGGGAGACAGCUGGCUUCAUGCGAAAAAGAAAAUGCUUUCUAGUCCUAUCCGGAUGCAACAAUAUAGAGGAAAUUACAAAGGGGUGUCUAGUUCCUGUGUGGGGCAGGAGGAACACACUUAGAAAAUGUAGGAACUGUCAAAGCAAGGACUCUCUCUUAGCUGGGUGAGGUGGCUUAUGCCUGUAAUCCCAGCAUUUGGGAGGCCAAGGCAGGGGGAUUGCUUGAGCCUAGGAGUUUGAGACCAGCCUACACAACAUGGAAAAACCCUGUUUCCACUAAAAAUACAAAAUUUAGCUGGGCAUGUUGGUGCAUGCCUGUAGUCCCAGCUACUCAGGAAGCUGAGGCAGGGGGAUUGCUUAAGCUUAGGAGGUCAAGGCUGCAGUGAGCCGGGAUUGUGCCACUGCACUCCAGCCUGGGUGACAGAGCAAGACCCUGUCUCAAAGCAAACAAACAAACCCUCCCUAUCUUCAGAUAUGUGCCCAGUGCUGGGAAUGGAAAAAUGAUAAGACUCAGUGCUGUUCUAAUAGAGUAAAUAAUACUUCAUAAGGUUAAAGAGGAAGUGGGUGAUGCUAAGAAACUAGAGAUGUAAACUACUGUUUCCCAAAAGAUUAAUGGUGAAGAGAAAGGUAGCUCCAGGUGAGUGCAAUGUUGAGUGAAGAAUUAAUUUAUAGUGUGUGUCUGAGGGUAAGGGUGCUUGAGCAUAUUAGUAAAUGAUAGAGCCAUGUUGAGGAUGAGGAGAAACCGACAGUGUCUUUCAAGGUACUUCUCCCAUAGUAUCAGUACAUGUGUUUGCACGUUGAUUUAUUGGUUUAUCCCAUUCUCCUUACUAUGCACUAGGCCAGUGCUAGACUCUGGAACAAAAUGAUGUCCCCUGACAACACACACAAAAAAUUCACUCUCCACUCUUUCUUCUUCCCUGAACUCCUUCCCCAGAAACCACUUCCAGGUGUGCUUCUGCCUCAUGCUCAGGGCCACUCAAAGCCAAGUCUUUCCAACUUUAUCACUUCCUUUGUUUUGAAGAAGGGUCAGAGGAAGUGCUUUUACCAUGUGUUUUGUUUCUUGUGCAAAGCCCACAGGACCUGAUGGUUUGGCGCCCCCCAGGGGUACCCAAUGGGCCUCUUUCCUGCUCACUAACAGAUAAGGGGAACUGAGGGGCCCACGGAGGCCAGCCUGAAUGAUAAACUUUAUGUACCCUAAAUUUUCUAAUAUUUAGGGGUCAGGGGAAGGGGAGACUGCAGUCCCUGGAAGCUUUCUUUAGUGUAAC
rnacentral:lncRNA from 1 species